GAUGAACGCUAGCUACAGGCUUAACACAUGCAAGUCGCGGGGCAGCAUGAAGGAUGCUUGCAUCCUUUGAUGGCGACCGGCGCACGGGUGAGUAACGCGUAUCCAACCUGCCUGUUACCACGGCACAGCCCGUCGAAAGGCGGAUUAAUGCCGUAUGUGGUCCUUUGCGGGCAUCUAAUUAGGACUAAAGGUUCGGCGGUAACGGAUGGGGAUGCGUCCGAUUAGCUAGACGGCGGGGUAACGGCCCACCGUGGCUACGAUCGGUAGGGGUUCUGAGAGGAAGGUCCCCCACACUGGAACUGAGACACGGUCCAGACUCCUACGGGAGGCAGCAGUGAGGAAUAUUGGUCAAUGGGCGGAAGCCUGAACCAGCCAAGUAGCGUGAGGGAAGAUUGCCCUAUGGGUUGUAAACCUCUUUUGUGCGGGGAUAAAGUGUGGGACGUGUCCCAUAUUGCAGGUACCGCACGAAUAAGGACCGGCUAAUUCCGUGCCAGCAGCCGCGGUAAUACGGAAGGUCCGGGCGUUAUCCGGAUUUAUUGGGUUUAAAGGGAGCGCAGGCCGUCCUUUAAGCGUGCUGUGAAAUGCCGCGGCUCAACCGUGGCACUGCAGCGCGAACUGGAGGACUUGAGUACGCACGAGGUAGGCGGAAUUCGUGGUGUAGCGGUGAAAUGCUUAGAUAUCACGAAGAACUCCGAUUGCGAAGGCAGCUUACCGGAGCGCAACUGACGCUGAGGCUCGAAAGCGCGGGUAUCGAACAGGAUUAGAUACCCUGGUAGUCCGCGC
rnacentral:rRNA from 1 species